UGGGGAAUAUUGGACAAUGGGCGAAAGCCUGAUCCAGCCAUGCCGCGUGAGUGAUGAAGGCCUUAGGGUUGUAAAGCUCUUUCGACGGGGAAGAUAAUGACGGUACCCGUAGAAGAAGCCCCGGCUAACUUCGUGCCAGCAGCCGCGGUAAUACGAAGGGGGCUAGCGUUGUUCGGAAUCACUGGGCGUAAAGCGCGCGUAGGCGGCUAUGUAAGUCAGAGGUGAAAUCCCGGGGCUCAACCUCGGAACUGCCUUUGAAACUGCAUAGCUGGAGUAUGGGAGAGGAGAGUGGAAUUCCUAGUGUAGAGGUGAAAUUCGUAGAUAUUAGGAGGAACACCAGUGGCGAAGGCGGCUCUCUGGACCAUUACUGACGCUGAGGCGCGAAAGCGUGGGGAUCAAA
rnacentral:rRNA from 1 species